GGACCUUUAGCUCAGUUGGUUAGAGCAGACGGCUCAUAACCGUCUUGUCGUAGGUUCGAGUCCUACAAGGUCCACUA
rnacentral:tRNA from 1 species